UCAAAACAGCGGACUUCGGUCCUUGCUGCACCCUUGUCUUUUGCGUACCGUAUGUUUCCUCGGCGGGCUUGCCUGCCGGUUGGACAUUAUCAAAACCUUUUUGUAGUUGCAAUCAGCGUCAGAAAUAAUAUAAUUA
rnacentral:misc_RNA from 1 species